rnacentral:rRNA from 1 species
GACGAACCGUCCAAACGUUGUUCGGAAUCACUGGGCUUAAAGGGCGCGUAGGCGGGUGAGCAAGUCUAUGGUGAAAUCCUCCGGCUUAACCGGAGAACUGCCGUGGAUACUGCCCAUCUCGAGGAGGAUAGGGGCAUCUGGAACUAGCGGUGGAGCGGUGAAAUGCGUUGAUAUCGCUAGGAACUCCGGUGGCGAAGGCGAGAUGCUGGAUCCUUUCUGACGCUGAGGCGCGAAAGCCAGGGGAGCGAACGGG